UACGUAGGGUGCGAGCGUUGUCCGGAAUUAUUGGGCGUAAAGAGCUUGUAGGCGGUUUGUCGCGUCUGCUGUGAAAAUCCGGGGCUCAACUCCGGACUUGCAGUGGGUACGGGCAGGCUAGAGUGUGGUAGGGGAGACUGGAAUUCCUGGUGUAGCGGUGGAAUGCGCAGAUAUCAGGAGGAACACCGAUGGCGAAGGCAGGUCUCUGGGCCACUACUGGCGCUGAGAAGCGAAAGCAUGGGGAGCGAACAGG
rnacentral:rRNA from 1 species